rnacentral:misc_RNA from 1 species
GAUGAAGAACGUAGCGAAAUGCGAUAAGUAGUGUGAAUUGCAGAAUUCAGUGAAUCAUCGAAUCUUUGAACGAACAUUGCGCCCCUUGGUAUUCCAUGGGGCACGCCUGUUCGAGCGUCAUUUGUACCUUCAAGCUUUGCUUGGUGUUGGGUGUUUGUCCUGAGGGACUCGCCUUAAAGUAAUUGGCAGCCAGUGUUUGGUUUUGAAGCGCAGCACAAGUCGCGAUUCAAGGCUAUACACCAGCUUCCACAAGCCUUUUUCACUUUUGACCUCGGAUCAGGUAGGGAUACCCGCUGAACUUAAGCAUAUCAAUAAGCGGAGGA